rnacentral:piRNA from 1 species
UGGGAAUUUAUGAAUCUGUGCACCUGUGCCA